UCAGUCCAAUUACAAGAACAGAGGCUGCUCUUUUCCAGCUGUUUUCCGGCGCCGGUGGUGGGAUGGGCCAACCUUCUCCUUCGCUACUUAGCUCCGGCUAUGAAGCAGUCACAAAAUACAUUGGUUUCACCAAAUCCAUCGUUUUCAUCUUAGGGCUCAUACGGAGCUACAAGAUGUCGGAGAAGAAAUUUCUCAACAUCCUAAUCACGCGCCUCACCAUUGUGUCGGAGAUGUAUGACCUCCGAUGUUCGGUGGUAGUCAUGAAUUUGCACCAAGGAAUAAGCGGUGUUUUCGUAUUGGUGUUCGCUAAAAUAGCCUAUGGUUUUCCGGGUCUCUUCUGUACGGUGAUACCGCAAGUAGCUUUUGUCAAAUUAAAAGAUAUGUUAGCACUCUUAAGCUUUCACAAUUCACGCACUACUUGUUAAAUACUCUGCAAUUAAGAGUUCUAUUUAUUUAUUCCACGUGUUUUAAGAAACAUGAGUUGAAACUCAUGAGUUAGUGUAUGUGUCUUACUUAUAUAUAUUAGUUUUAUAAUAAAAUGUGAUUGGAAUAAACUAGUGGAAUGUGGGGUAUACUUACCAUUUAUGGUUAAAGUGAAGUAUGACUCU